AAAGCUAAAAACACCCGUGUACGUUAAGACACAGUCCAACACAAAAUAAACUCCCAAUUUAAAUACAGUAUUGGUAUGAUGAACAUAAUUACAGAAUUUCUGAGUAAAACCCAACUUUAUUAUUUUAGAUACUUUUGAAUAUUUACCUUCCUAGCUCUAGUGCCUCAAUUUUCUUUAAUUUUUUUUUCUAGCACUCAGAUUAUUAUUUUCAGAUUAUUAGGUAAAGCUAACAGUCCUGUGAGACUGGAGUGGAUGGAGGGGCUGAAAGCAGCAGUGGUGGAAGGACAGCAGUCCAGAAUGGAGUGGGAUGGCCGUCUGUGGGAGACUUCAGACUGGGAAAUGGAAGACAGAGCAGAUCAGUUAGGAAGGAGGGGAUGAGCCUCGAGCGCUGCUGCAUUUAACACACACACACACACACACACCCCCGCUGGGAGCGAAAAUGAAAUUUUCCAGGCCGCUAUUUCUGCAGCAAAUUCAAUUACUGAAGGCACUUGUACAAAGAGCUGUGACUUCCCUGAUGGUGAGAUUGGAAAAGGCUGAUGGCUGCAGACAGUGAAUAACACGACAUGGCUGCGGCGGCGGAGCAGGUAUACGAGCUCAGAAACAAUAUGUGGACAGGGGACCCUUGUUGUGGGAGUUUAAAAUCACGGCCUCGGUCCCACACUCAGGCUUUGUCUAGCUUGGCUGGCCACUGGAAAAUGAGUGUCCUUUCUGGCAAACCCUGAGGGGGACUUCAUCAGCACGGCAGCCUGUGUCGUUUCACACCGUGACAGACAGAGAGGGGAGAGAAAAGCUAUUAAAGUUGUAUCUUAAAAG